AGUUCCAUAGCUUAGGGGUUAAAGCACUGGUCUUGUAAACCAAGGAUCACGAGUUCAUAUCUCUCUGGGGCCU
rnacentral:tRNA from 1 species